rnacentral:pre_miRNA from 1 species
AAAGUACUCCCUCCGUCCCAAAAUUCUUGUCUUAUAUUUGUCUAGAUACGGAUGUAUCAAGUCACAUUUUAGUAUUAGAUACAUCUGUAUCUAGAAAAAUCUAAGACAAGAAAUUUGGGACAGAGGGAGUAGUUG